rnacentral:rRNA from 1 species
GACAGAGGAUGCAAGCGUUAUCCGGAAUGAUUGGGCGUAAAGCGUCUGUAGGUGGCUUUUAAGUCCGCCGUCAAAUCCCAGGGCUCAACCCUGGACAGGCGGUGGAACUACCAAGCUGGAGUACGGUAGGGCAGAGGGAAUUCCGGUGGAGCGGUGAAAUGCGUAGAGAUCGGAAAGAACACCAACGGCGAAAGCACUCUGCUGGGCCGACACUGACACUGAGAGACGAAAGCUAGGGAGCGAAUGGG